rnacentral:rRNA from 1 species
CCUACGGGUGGCAGCAGUGGGGAAUAUUGCACAAUGGGGGAAACCCUGAUGCAGCGACGCCGCGUGAGUGAAGAAGGAAUUAGUGAUGGAAAGCUCUAUCAGCAGGGAAGAAAAUGACGGUACCUGAGUAAGAAGCCCCGGCUAACUACGGGCCAGCAGCCGCGGUAAUACGUAGGGGGCAAGCGUUAUCCGGAUUUACGGGGUGUAAAGGGAGCGUAGACGGGGGGGCAAGUCUGGAGUGAAAGGGGGGGGCUCAACCCCCGGACUGCUGUGGAAACUGUACGGCUUGAGUGCAGGAGAGGUAAGUGGAAUGCCUGGUGUAGCGGUGAAAUGCGUAGAUAUUAGGAGGAACACCAGUGGCGAAGGCGGCUUACUGGACUGUAACUGACGUUGAGGCUCGAAAGCGUGGGGAGCAAACAGGAUUAGAUACCCUGGUAGUC